GCCUGCAUGAAGUCGGAAUUGCUAGUAAUCGCGGAUCAGCAUGCCGCGGUGAAUACGUUCCCGGGCCUUGUACACACCGCCCGUCACACCAUGGGAGCCGGUAAUACCCGAAGUCAGUAGUCCAACCACGUGAGGACGCUGCCGAAGGUAGGAUUGGCGACUGGGGUGAAGUCGUAACAAGGUAUC
rnacentral:rRNA from 1 species